rnacentral:rRNA from 1 species
GCACUAUACCACCCUGAGCACCCCUGAUCUCGUCUGACCUCAGAAGCUAAGCAGGGUCGGGCCUGGUUAGUACUUGGAUGGAAGAAUACCCAGUUGACUGCC